GAUGAAGAACGCAGCGAAAUGCGAUACGUAGUGUGAAUUGCAGAAUUUCCGUGAGUCAUCGAAUCUUUGAACGCACAUUGCGCCCACUGGUAUUCCGGCGGGCAUGCCUGUUCGAGCGUCAUUACGCCCCUCAAGUCCCCUGUGGACUUGGUGUUGGGGAUCGGCGAGGCUGGUUUUCCAGCACAGCCGUCCCUUAAAUUAAUUGGCGGUCUCGCCGUGGCCCUCCUCUGCGCAGUAGUAAAACACUCGCAACAGGAGCCCGGCGCGGUCCACUGCCGUAAAACCCCCCAACUUUUUAUAGUUGACCUCGAAUCAGGUAGGACUACCCGCUGAACUUAAGCAUAUCAAUAAGCGGAGGA
rnacentral:misc_RNA from 1 species